rnacentral:tRNA from 1 species
UGUGGUGUGGCUCAAGUGGUAGAGCACCUGCCUGGCAAAUGAGGUUUGAUCCUGAGUUCAAACCUCAGCAUCACCA